rnacentral:rRNA from 1 species
AACGAACGCUGGCGGCAUGCCUAACACAUGCAAGUCGAACGAGACCUUCGGGUCUAGUGGCGCACGGGUGCGUAACGCGUGGGAACCUGCCCUUAGGUUCGGAAUAACUCCCCGAAAGGGGUGCUAAUACCGGAUAAUGUCUUCGGACCAAAGAUUUAUCGCCUUUGGAUGGGCCCGCGUUGGAUUAGCUAGUUGGUAGGGUAAAAGCCUACCAAGGCGACGAUCCAUAGCUGGUCUGAGAGGAUGAUCAGCCACACUGGGACUGAGACACGGCCCAGACUUCUACGGGAGGCAGCAGUGGGGAAUAUUGGACAAUGGGCGAAAGCCUGAUCCAGCAAUGCCGCGUGAGUGAUGAAGGCCUUAGGGUUGUAAAGCUCUUUUACCCGGGAUGAUAAUGACAGUACCGGGAGAAUAAGCUCCGGCUAACUCCGU